rnacentral:tRNA from 1 species
GUCCCUGUAGCUUAAACCAAAGCAUGGUACUGAAGAUGCCAAGAUGGACCUUUUUCCCAAGGACA